GACGAACGCUGGCGGCGUGCUUAACACAUGCAAGUCGAACGGAAAGGCCCUGCUUUUGUGGGGUGCUCGAGUGGCGAACGGGUGAGUAACACGUGAGUAACCUGCCCUUGACUUUGGGAUAACUUCAGGAAACUGGGGCUAAUACCGGAUAGGAGCUACUGCUGCAUGGUGGGGGUUGGAAAGUUUCGGCGGUUGGGGAUGGACUCGCGGCUUAUCAGCUUGUUGGUGGGGUAGUGGCUUACCAAGGCUUUGACGGGUAGCCGGCCUGAGAGGGUGACCGGCCACAUUGGGACUGAGAUACGGCCCAGACUCCUACCGGAGGCAGCAGUGGGGAAUAUUGCACAAUGGGCGGAAGCCUGAUGCAGCAACGCCACGUGCGGGAUGACGUCAUUCGGGUUGUAAACCGCUUUCCCCUGUCACGAAGCGUGAGUGACGGUAAUGGGUAAAUAAGCACCGGCUAACUACGUG
rnacentral:rRNA from 1 species